AAGUUAAACCUGUCAGUGUCCAUGUUCACUGUUCUGUCCAAAAAGAACAUAAAUGUCUAGGAAUUUGCCACUAUUUUUUGUAUUAGAGGUGAAUAGUACAAAUUCUACUAGUGUUUCUUGUCUGGGGCUUGGGUGGGUAGGGGUGUAUUGUAAUUUUCAAGCUAUUGCAAAAGCUGCUUUUAAAUAAGCUGUUCAGUUGUAUUGACUGGUUUGUGCUUUCCAAGGGAAUCCAGGCGAGCCGGGGUUCGGGGGUAGCCUCCUUGCCUUGCUGUCACAGGGUAACUAGAGCUGAAGUCACUUGUGAAAACUUAGCUAAGGGAUGUGGUGAUUAGGCACCCGUCCCUGAUCUGUGAUGUAGUGUACUGUAAUCUAAUGAGGUUAGACACUCACCUACUGUAGAGCCGUGGUUUUGUCAGCAGCUACUUAGUCUGUCUGCCCCUGGUGUGAUAACCUUGGUUGAGAAUGUACUUCUGCAGAUUUAAGAUGAUGUCAAACCCCUGUGUUAUCUGGUCUCUGUAUAUAAAUAUUAUUGUCUAAUCCCAAAAGGAAAUGUGUAGCACAAAAUGAAGUUAAGGGUGUUCUGCACCAAGCCUGGUUAAAGUUUUUGCUGACACAGCAGGAGGGGGAAGACAUGGAUCUAACAGUGAUGUCUGCUACAGGCAACCAGAACGUUUCCUACCACAUCCACACUUAGAACUGACUGAAGCUUUGGUUUUGCAGUUUAAAAAAAAUAUAAGACCUGGUAUUUCCCAUACUGAAAUUUGGAAUAUGAACCUUACAGUGAUGGUAUCUUUUCAAGCAAUUCCUUCAGUUUUCCCCUAUUUGUGCACUGAAGUUGGAGGGAGGAAUAUUUUUACAUGAAGCUGUAGACUUUUGCAUUCUUUCCACUUUCAAUCUAAAGCCCAGAUCCCAUUAUUGAACCUCACACAGUUCCCCAAUCCAUCAGUAUCACACACACACAGACAGAUAUGCCUUACUGGGGAUGUGGCAUAUACAUACUUCUGGUAUAUAGUUGGGAACAGCCAACUGACAUCGUAGAAUGGUGACUCGGGAGAUGUAGCUGCCUCCUCUUGACUAAAUUCAUACCCACUAUGACUCUGCUGAUCUCAGUUCAUACAUGGUACAAGAACAUCAAGUGUACACCUCUUGUUGAUUUGGAAGUAAGAUGUGAUGCUGGUCAGUUGGUGGGAUUUCAAACAGUGGUAUGCAUGACUAGAGCUAACUAACUGCAACAUUGCUAUUGCAACCUUCAACACUUCUGAUCAGCCUUUAGGUGAAGGGGGAACUUCAACCUAAGCAACUACAAAAUUAAUACUAAUUUCUUUUAAACAAGGGAAAACCCACAAGUAUUCCUCUAGAGACCAACCUUCUCUUCUGCUCCUUUAUUUUAGCAGUGAAUGGGUUCUGACAAUGCUGGUUUGGGCUCAGCUGACUGAGCGUUCUUCCCUCCCCCCGCUUUCAGUGUGUUUAGAACUGAAAAAAGAGCAGAGGUUUGAAUGCUUUCUUGAGUAUGAAGCUGAAGGAGUAGGGAAGAGAGACAGAAGAACAUGAAAUAAAAAGCAUGGCCUUGGCUUCAUACCACACUUUCUGUGCCUUGUUCUAUCAAUGUAAAUUCUGAAUGUUGUACAGUAAAAUACUUGGGAAAGACUCCUUGGAAAAGGCUGCACUGGCUUCUUUUUUCAGCACAUGUACAUAUAUAAAUAUAUAUACAUAUAUAUAUUUGGUAAUGCCAAACAGCUGUGUUAUAUUGUACUGAAAAAGUAAUAAUGGACAGUUUGGAUGUUUUCUGUAGAGUUUGCAAAUCCUGUAUGGCUAUGGCCUUUUGGAGAUAAAUGUACAGACGUAAAUUACUGCAUAUCAGUUAUUUAUGAAUAAAGAGUCUUUUACUGACAUCU
rnacentral:lncRNA from 1 species